AUGGCCAUAUCACAUUGUAACACCGGUUCUUGUAUGAUCACAGAAGUUAAGCAACAUCGAGCUAGCUCAGUACCUAGAUGAGUGACCGCUUGGAAAUAUCAAGU